rfam:Ailuropoda melanoleuca scaffold470_33, whole genome shotgun sequence.
GCCUGGCUGGCUCAGUGGGUGGAGUGUGUGACUCUUGAUCUUGGGGUCCUGAGUUCAAGCCCCACGCUGGGCA